rnacentral:sRNA from 1 species
AAGCACAUACGAAAAAAUAUAUAAAG